rnacentral:rRNA from 1 species
UACGGAGGGUGCAAGCGUUAUCCGGAUUCACUGGGUUUAAAGGGUGCGUAGGUGGGUUGGUAAGUCAGUGGUGAAAUCCCCGGGCUCAACCCGGGAACUGCGUCCGAUACUGGCAGGCUUGAAUCCGGGAGAGGGAUGCGGAAUUCCAGGUGUAGCGGUGAAAUGCGUAGAUAUCUGGAGGAACACCGGUGGCGAAGGCGGCAUCCUGGACCGGCAUUGACGCUGAGGCGCGAAAGCCAGGGGAGCAAACGGG